rnacentral:lncRNA from 1 species
AAAUUUUAAAUUUUAAAUUAAUUUUAAAUUUUGAAUUGAAAUAUAAAUUUACAGCAGAUAUUCUGGCAAAUAUUUGGAUAAGCAUAAAUUUUUUUCUAUUUUAGAGAUAAAAAAAAUUAAAUAAUUUUUUAAUUAAAAUAUAGAUUCACAGUAGAUAUCUUUCGGUUGGUAAAAAUUUGGAUAAGUAUAUAUAUUUUUUUUCUAUUUUAAAGAUAAACAGAAAUUAAAAAUUUGUUUCAUUACGUUAUUUAUUUUACGUACGGAAAGAGGAAUCAAUAUUUUCCUACUAAAAAAUGGGUCUGUCGACAGACCUAAAUUUGAAAUACGUGCUUUUAUAUAUAGUAUAGAUAUUUACGGCAAUGAUAUUGAGUUUGAUGC